UACGGAGGGUGCAAGCAUUGAUCGGAAUUACUGGGCGUAAAGGGCGCGUAGGCGGUCUGAUAAGUCGGAUGUGAAAUUCCGGGGCUCAACCCCGGAGCUGCAUUUGAAACUAUCAGACUAGAGUACAGUUAGGGUAAACGGAAUUCCACGUGUAGCGGUGAAAUGCGUAGAUAUGUGGAAGAACACCAGUGGUGAAGACGGUUUACUGGGCUGUAACUGACGCUGAGGCGCGAAAGCUAGGGGAGCAAAC
rnacentral:rRNA from 1 species